rnacentral:rRNA from 1 species
UGAGUUUGAUCAUGGCUCAGGAUGAACGCUAGCGAUAGGCCUAACACAUGCAAGUCGAGGGGCAGCACUGGCGAGUAGCAAUACUUGCCUGGUGGCGACCGGCGGAUGGGUGAGUAACACGUAUGCAACCUGCCUACAACAAGGGCAUAACUCCGGGAAAUCGGUGCUAAUUCCCUAUAACACAGGGGCCCCGCAUGGGGAUAUUUGUUAAAGAUUAAUCGGUUGUAGAUGGGCAUGCGUUCCAUUAGCUAGUUGGUGAGGUAAUGGCUCACCAAGGCAACGAUGGAUAGGGGAACUGAGAGGUUUAUCCCCCACACUGGUACUGAGACACGGACCAGACUCCUACGGGAGGCAGCAGUGAGGAAUAUUGGUCAAUGGAGGCAACUCUGAACCAGCCACGUCGCGUGAAGGAAGACGGCCCUACGGGUUGUAAACUUCUUUUGUAAGGGAAUAAAGUGAGUCACGCGUGACUUUUUGCAUGUACCUUACGAAUAAGGAUCGGCUAACUCCGUGCCAGCAGCCGCGGUAAUACGGAGGAUCCGAGCGUUAUCCGGAUUUAUUGGGUUUAAAGGGUGCGCAGGCGGGAGACUCAGUCGGUGGUGAAAUCUUGCAGCUCAACUGUAAGCGUGCCAUUGAUACUGGUUUUCUUGAGUGUGGAUGAAGUAGGCGGAAUUUGUGGUGUAGCGGUGAAAUGCAUAGAUAUCACGAGGAACUCCGAUUGCGUAGGCAGCUUACUAAACCAUAACUGACGCUCAUGCACGAAGGCGUGGGGAUCAAACAGGAUUAGAUACCCUGGUAGUCCACGCGGUAAACGAUGAUUACUGGCUGUUUGCGAUACACAGUAAGCGGCCCAGCGAAAGCGUUAAGUAAUCCACCUGGGGAGUACGUUCGCAAGAAUGAAACA